AUAUAUAUAUAUAUAUAUGUAUAUAUAUAUAUAUAUAUGUAUAUACAUACGUAUACGUUAUUGGUACGAGUUAUUGGCCAGGUUAUUGGUACGAGAAUACUGACUGGAUAAACUUAGUAUGUAUAAAUGCGUAUGUACAUAUAUGUAUAUAUGCACAUUUAUACAUUUAUUGAACUAGUAUAUAGAAAUCUUCACCUUAUUAGAAGAAGGUUGUAUAAAUAUAAUACACGCCAUGGCCGAUUUUCAUUCAGCAGAUUUCGAAAGAAGAUUACUUCAUCUUUUUAUUUGUAGUUCCUUCGAUAUGAAAGUUUCGAGUACGGUAUGUCUGGCAGCUGUAGUUGAGAGUAGUCAGUUUUGUCUAUGGAUCGUGACCUGAUUCCACUGUAUAAAUUAUGGGUCUACACGUGACACACAUCUCUGAUGUACGAGCUGCAUUGUAUACCACAAAUACGAGUACAUAUAACUUAUACCUGUAUAAAGUACUUUCAGGAAGAUUUUGAUAGCUCUUCAAAUAUCCUGCAGAUGUUAUUCUCUAUCUCUCUCUUCUCCUUUUUUUCUCUCUUUUUUUUUUUUCUUUUUUUAU